rnacentral:lncRNA from 1 species
UGUCUAACAUAGGUGAUAGUUAUUGGGAAAUUAUGGUAAAUAAUGUACACGUAGUUUUUAAUAUAAAAGGUAACACCGCCCCUGAAGGCGGUCAGUGUGCCUCAACCUGACCUGCCAGACAGAGCUCAGCGGGUCGAAGAAAGAAUGAUAUCGAUAAGAAAUAAUUAACAACCUUGAGAAUGAGAGCCAAAGAAUCCUGACUCCUCCUUCAGCUGCCGGGCUGGGAAAAGAGACUCUGUAACAUAUCUUGGGGUCAUCCUGACCACAGAGACCCCUGAGACUGAAGAGCCGUCACCCCUUUGAUAAAGCUUUUCUCAUCUUCUCAGCUUUGCAUGCCUCAGGUGAGAAAAGAAAAGCCUGAGAGACUCAGCUGCCUGGCAAAUGGCCUGAGCACCUGGCCAUCCUAAAGCAGCAGCAGUCAUACAGCAACAGCCCCGCAGCAGAGCGCAACGUCAGACUCCAUCUCCACAAGUCACUCACCUUUCCCUCAGCAACAAAGAGGUCCUUGCAGCCAGCAGGAAGAGAGAGAUGACCACCGACUCUAGCAUGACAUCUUGGUGAGACUUGUGGAAGCAUGGAGGAUUGGCCCAUCCAGUCAGGAUCAUUGAGGCUGGAAAAGGCCUCCAAGGCCACUGAGUCCAACCUUGUCAUCAACCCAAAGCUCCAUGUCUGAUCCUUCCUUGGAUGUCACCAUCAU